rnacentral:rRNA from 1 species
AGCGAACGCUGGCGGCAGGCCUAACACAUGCAAGUCGAACGAAGUCUUCGGACUUAGUGGCGGACGGGUGAGUAACACGUAGGAACGUGCCUUUAGGUUCGGAAUAACUCAGGGAAACUUGUGCUAAUACCGAAUGUGCCCUUCGGGGGAAAGAUUUAUCGCCUUUAGAGCGGCCCGCGUCGGAUUAGCUAGUUGGUGAGGUAAAGGCUCACCAAGGCGACGAUCAGUAGCUGGUCGGAGAGGAUGAUCAGCCACAUUGGGACUGAGACACGGCCCAAACUCCUACGGGAGGCAGCAGUGGGGAACCUUGCGCAAUGGGCGAAAGACUGACGCAGCCAUGCCGCGUGAAUGAUGAAGGUCUUAGGAUUGUAAAAUUCUUUCACCGGGGACGAUAAUGACGGUACCCGGAAAAGAAGCCCCAGCUAACUUCGUGCCAGCCGCCGCGGUAAAAC